UUGCUGGUUCUGCUCUCUGCAGUUACAAGGAGAAUCUGAAAAUCUAGUGUCUCUCCAGCACUUGCAGGAAGGACUCACAAUAUGUGCCCAGCCUGCCAGGUUUGAAAAGAACAUCAGAUUUGCUGCCUGGAGGGCUGAGGUGCUUCUGCUGCCAACUAGCCCCAUCACAAACAAGACUUCAAAGCUCCAUCUGGCAGCAUGUAGAUGGAUACGACUCAUCUCAGGGCUAGUUGUUUUCUUCUUUAUUCCCACCAUCAGUGAUGUUUAGCCUCUUCCUUCUCUCUUGGUGAUGAGCAGGUGCUGCUACCCAUUAUGCACCCUCCAGAGGAGAGAAGUCACCAGCUGCACUCAGAGACUUCCUGGAGAAGGGGGUCUCUGGAGAAAGUGGUAGUGACAGCUCACUCCCCACCAUCACCCACCAACCCUUGAUUGACAGCAGCCACAAAAAGACGUAUGAGAUCUGCAAAUCACCGACCAGGCA